rnacentral:lncRNA from 1 species
UCAAUUUGAAUCUGUUUAGGUCGUUUUUAGCCCUAGGGGCAUUUUGGUCAUUUCACAUAAAAUUUUGGCAUGGGGAGGUUACUUUGAAGUACCUCAUUUAGGCCAUUGGUUCGUUUUAGUCCGUUUUGUCAUUUUUAUUUUUUUGUUUCGCUUUACGUUGGGUCAAAUUACGUUUUUUAUUCAAUUUUAUUUUUUAAUUGCAUUUUGGUCCCUCAAGUGAGGUCCCAAAAUUGCAUUUCAGUCCAGAAUUUUCUUUUUUUACAUUUCAGUCCUUUUUGUCAAUUGCAGUUUAGUCCCUUAAUUUUUCAAUUUUGCAGAAAGGUCCAAUUUCAUUUUUUGCCCAAGGCCGUGCCAUUUUUUUUUUUUUCAGGUCCAGGUGUCACUUUCUCAUUUGUUCAGAUACACACAUGUCAAGCUAUAAAAGGUGCACAGUGCCACUCAGAGCCAUAGAUUACACGCCAACUCAUAAACACAAAUUCAUUUUUCUUUUUUCCAGCAACUGAAUCAAAACAGAAGAAUUUCUCAGAAUCAUCAAGAACAUUCAAACCCUAACCGUUUCUGAACCAACUCCAAAUCAAUUCAAAUCAAUCCAAAUCAACUCAAAUCAGUACAGAAUCAACAAGAUUUUUGCAAUUCUCAGAGAUUCUGCAUCGAAUCUUCAUCAUCGAAUUGAAUUUCUUCGCAAUCCAAAGUGAGAAUUCGCCAUUGGCGAACUCCAGCACUGAUCACGAAGAUUUCGAGAGUGUGAAAAGAAGAAAGAAAGAAACAGAAUCCAGACCGGUGAAGAAGAAGAAGAAUCACUGAUUUAUUUUCAGUUUCAAAACCGGAGAACAAGAAAUAAAAGCCAAAUCCAAGUGUUUCCGAAGAACUCAACAGAAUCUCCAUAAAAAAAGCUCAGGUAAAACUCAGAAUCCUUCCUCAAAAAAGUAAUAUCACAGUUAAACCUGCAAGUAGAAAACAGAAGAUUUUCCAGAACCACGAAACAAAACCGUAACCGUAAACACAAAAUCUAGAUCCAUAAGGAUCUAGGUUUUGAAAGCAAGAACAAGUAUCAGAAAAGCCAUCAAGCGACGAGAUGAUGUAGAUCUUUAGAGAUCAAAACGAUUUAGUUCAAAAAAUCAGAAAAAAUCAUUUCAAAACCGUAAAGGAUUUUUUAAGAUCUACGUCGUUUCAGGCCGUGUAUGAGAAAAUAAUUGCUAGAUCCGUGUUUAGGGUUGAAGGACGAAUCGUUAGAUGUAAAAAUCACAAGUUUCUGAAAAAUUUCACGGCGGAACCCUAGAUCUUCACCGGAGAAGAUGAAGUUUCCGGUGACCUAUGAAGGUUCCGGCCGGUCCUUCAUCCUCUCCGGCGUGCCAUGCCAGAAUCCGGUGAGUUGAGGGAAGAGAGAAGAGAGAGAAGCUCUGAGCUAGAGAGAGAAGGGGAAGUAGAAAAUGAAAAAAACCGGUGCCAUGCCUUUUAAAUAAGCUAGUGAACCAGACCGGUUCAAGACCGGUCCAAUCCUGUUGAUUCCAGGCCGUUUGAUCUAGGGUUUCAGGACCCUGGAUCAAUCCUGUGGCUCCUGUGAAUCCGGUUCCUUAGGGUUUUGGGUUGGGCCUUUGUUUCCUUUGGAUCUUUACGUUUUGCUAUUCCUGUGCUAUUCACACCUCUAUUUUUUGCUACCUGUACCCAUGUCUUGAUUAAAAUUGUGAUAAAAUUCCUAGAAAAAUUCAUACAUGUUUCCUGAUAUUUUCUUAGUGUUUUUAUGACAUUUUUGCACAUUAAGGAUCUAUGAAAUUUUGGUAUGGUUAAUUCAUAGCAUUUUAAUUCCCUUUGAAUUAUUUGUUAUGGAUUCUUCUUCAUACAUUUGUCCUUGAUGUGCGAAUAUGUGAUAAAAGCUUUUUGAUGUGUUAAUAUGAGAGAUUUGUGCCUAUAAUUUCGUGUUGUUUUGCUGUUUUGAUUUGGUUCAUGAGUGCUUGAUUUUAUGAACAAUAUAUGCAUAUUUUGAAAGAUAUAAAAUGCCAAGUUUAUUCUAGAAAAUAUGGCAUGAAACCAUGCUUGCAUGUUUCCAAUAAUUUCAUGCUAUAACUUGAGAUAAAGAAAACUCUUUCAAAAUUUGUUAAAGCAUGAGAAUUAGAGGCCAAGAAUGCUUUAGGUUUCAUACCUAAGUUUUUAGGAUUUGAUGUCAUUUUGUUAACUUUUUGUGUCAUCUUGCAUGCUUUUAUUUCUUAGUGCUUAUUAUGUUUUUUCUUUUGACUAACAAGUUUAUUUCCAUGUUUCAUGCAUCCCAUUUAGCAUUCCCUCCACCCUCUUUAGCCUAGCAUUUAUUUU